UACAGAGGAGCCAAGCGUUGUCCGGAUUGACUGGGCGUAAAGCGCACGCAGGCGGAUGCGCGCGUGGGGUGUGAAAUCUGGCCGCUUAACGGCCAGGCGCCAUCCCAUACGGCGCGUCUGGAGUGAUGCAGAGGUCGGUGGAAUUGCCGGUGUAGUGGUGAAAUGCGCAGAUAUCAGGAGGAACACCAAUGGCGAAGGCAGCUCGCUGGGACGGUACUGACGCUGAGACGCGAAAGCGUGGGGAGCAAACAGG
rnacentral:rRNA from 1 species